GCUCCUCUGUAUGCAGCUCCACCAUGUACAAGACACAAAGUUUGCCAAAGAAGCCAAGUUAAGCUUGGUAAACUACACAGACUCGGAUGAAUCAGCCGUCAGUUCCAACGCUAAUGAAGAUGUUCCCUCAUACACCAUACAGUUUCUGAUGUCAGUCUGGCACGAAGCAUGGAGCAGAAUCGAAGUGGGUCUCCACAAGAAAAUGAAGGGGAGAGUAAUUCCAAUGGAGACGACAUCCCUGUCCAAAAGAAAAAGUCCAAGACCAUUCGCAAGCCACAGAAGAAGAGGCCCUGGGAAACUGAGGAGACAAAUGCCGUUGAAAAGCACAUGAGGAACUUCAUUUUGACAUGCAAUGUUCCAAGAAAGGAAGACUGUGAUAAGUGCCUUA